rnacentral:rRNA from 1 species
UUAAGUUAUUAAGGGCGCACGGUGGAUGCCUUGGCACUAGAAGCCGAUGAAGGACGUUACUAACGACGAUAUGCUUUGGGGAGCUGUAAGUAAGCUUUGAUCCAGAGAUUUCCGAAUGGGGAAACCCAGCAUGAGUUAUGUCAUGUUAUCGAUAUGUGAAUACAUAGCAUAUCAGAAGGCACACCCGGAGAACUGAAACAUCUUAGUACCCGGAGGAAGAAAAAGAAAAUUCGAUUCCCUUAGUAGCGGCGAGCGAAACGGGAAGAGCCCAAACCAACAAGCUUGCUUGUUGGGGUUGUAGGACACUCUAUACGGAGUUACAAAGGACGACAUUAGACGAAUCAUCUGGAAAGAUGAAUCAAAGAAGGUAAUAAUCCUGUAGUCGAAAAUGUUGUCUCUCUUGAGUGGAUCCUGAGUACGACGGAACACGUGAAAUUCCGUCGGAAUCUGGGAGGACCAUCUCCUAAGGCUAAAUACUCUCUAGUGACCGAUAGUGAACCAGUACCGUGAGGGAAAGGUGAAAAGCACCCCGGAAGGGGAGUGAAAUAGAACCUGAAACCGUGUGCUUACAAGUAGUCAGAGCCCGUUAAUGGGUGAUGGCGUGCCUUUUGUAGAAUGAACCGGCGAGUUACGAUUUGAUGCAAGGUUAAGCAGUAAAUGUGGAGCCGUAGCGAAAGCGAGUCUGAAUAGGGCGUUUAGUAUUUGGUCGUAGACCCGAAACCAGGUGAUCUACCCUUGGUCAGGUUGAAGUUCAGGUAACACUGAAUGGAGGACCGAACCGACUUACGUUGAAAAGUGAGCGGAUGAACUGAGGGUAGCGGAGAAAUUCCAAUCGAACCUGGAGAUAGCUGGUUCUCUCCGAAAUAGCUUUAGGGCUAGCCUCAAGUGAUGAUUAUUGGAGGUAGAGCACUGUUUGGACGAGGGGCCCCUCUCGGGUUACCGAAUUCAGACAAACUCCGAAUGCCAAUUAAUUUAACUUGGGAGUCAGAACAUGGGUGAUAAGGUCCGUGUUCGAAAGGGAAACAGCCCAGACCACCAGCUAAGGUCCCAAAAUAUAUGUUAAGUGGAAAAGGAUGUGGCGUUGCCCAGACAACUAGGAUGUUGGCUUAGAAGCAGCCAUCAUUUAAAGAGUGCGUAAUAGCUCACUAGUCGAGUGACACUGCGCCGAAAAUGUACCGGGGCUAAACAUAUUACCGAAGCUGUGGAUUGUCCUUUGGACAAUGGUAGGAGAGCGUUCUAAGGGCGUUGAAGCAUGAUCGUAAGGACAUGUGGAGCGCUUAGAAGUGAGAAUGCCGGUGUGAGUAGCGAAAGACGGGUGAGAAUCCCGUCCACCGAUUGACUAAGGUUUCCAGAGGAAGGCUCGUCCGCUCUGGGUUAGUCGGGUCCUAAGCUGAGGCCGACAGGCGUAGGCGAUGGAUAACAGGUUGAUAUUCCUGUACCACCUAUAAUCGUUUUAAUCGAUGGGGGGACGCAGUAGGAUAGGCGAAGCGUGCGAUUGGAUUGCACGUCUAAGCAGUAAGGCUGAGUAUUAGGCAAAUCCGGUACUCGUUAAGGCUGAGCUGUGAUGGGGAGAAGACAUUGAGUCUUCGAGUCGUUGAUUUCACACUGCCGAGAAAAGCCUCUAGAUAGAAAAUAGGUGCCCGUACCGCAAACCGACACAGGUAGUCAAGAUGAGAAUUCUAAGGUGAGCGAGCGAACUCUCGUUAAGGAACUCGGCAAAAUGACCCCGUAACUUCGGGAGAAGGGGUGCUCUUUAGGGUUAACGCCCAGAAGAGCCGCAGUGAAUAGGCCCAAGCGACUGUUUAUCAAAAACACAGGUCUCUGCUAAACCGUAAGGUGAUGUAUAGGGGCUGACGCCUGCCCGGUGCUGGAAGGUUAAGAGGAGUGGUUAGCUUCUGCGAAGCUACGAAUCGAAGCCCCAGUAAACGGCGGCCGUAACUAUAACGGUCCUAAGGUAGCGAAAUUCCUUGUCGGGUAAGUUCCGACCCGCACGAAAGGCGUAACGAUUUGGGCACUGUCUCAACGAGAGACUCGGUGAAAUCAUAGUACCUGUGAAGAUGCAGGUUACCCGCGACAGGACGGAAAGACCCCGUGGAGCUUUACUGUAGCCUGAUAUUGAAAUUCGGCACAGCUUGUACAGGAUAGGUAGGAGCCUUUGAAACGUGAGCGCUAGCUUACGUGGAGGCGCUGGUGGGAUACUACCCUAGCUGUGUUGGCUUUCUAACCCGCACCACUUAUCGUGGUGGGAGACAGUGUCAGGCGGGCAGUUUGACUGGGGCGGUCGCCUCCUAAAAGGUAACGGAGGCGCUCAAAGGUUCCCUCAGAAUGGUUGGAAAUCAUUCAUAGAGUGUAAAGGCAUAAGGGAGCUUGACUGCGAGACCUACAAGUCGAGCAGGGUCGAAAGACGGACUUAGUGAUCCGGUGGUUCCGCAUGGAAGGGCCAUCGCUCAACGGAUAAAAGCUACCCCGGGGAUAACAGGCUUAUCUCCCCCAAGAGUUCACAUCGACGGGGAGGUUUGGCACCUCGAUGUCGGCUCAUCGCAUCCUGGGGCUGUAGUC